CUUGCCAGCCCUCUUGGGCGUUUCCUCCCUAGACUUCGGGCCACUCGCAAGGGUGGCCUUUUUUCUUUUCAGCG
rnacentral:sRNA from 1 species